GGUCAAGUGACCAAGUGCAUAUGGUGGAUGCCUAGGCGGCAGAAGGCGAUGAAGGACGUGGUAGCCUGCGAUAAGCCUCGGGGAGCUGGCAAACAAGCUUUGAUCCGGGGGUGUCCGAAUGGGGAAACCCGACCCUUCGGGGUCAUUCGGACCUGAAUACAUAGGGUCCGAAAGCGAACCCGGCGAACUGAAACAUCUAAGUAGCCGGAGGAAAAGAAAUCAACCGAGAUUCCCUCAGUAGCGGCGAGCGAACGGGGACUAGCCCUAAAGCGUUGUGGACUCUAGCGGAACGGCCUGGAAAGGCCGGCCAUAGACGGUGAUAGCCCGGUACGCGAAAGACAAGCAACGUUAUUCGAGUAGGACGGGACACGUGAAAUCCUGUCUGAACAUGGGGGGACCAUCCUCCAAGGCUAAAUACUCUCUGCCGACCGAUAGUGAACCAGUACCGUGAGGGAAAGGCGAAAAGAACCCCGGGAGGGGAGUGAAAUAGAACCUGAAACCGUAUGCAUACAAGCAGUGGGAGCCCUUCGGGGUGACCGCGUACCUUUUGUAUAAUGGGUCAGCGACUUGCUUUCAGUGGCAAGCUUAACCGUAUAGGGAAGGCGCAGGGAAACCGAGUCUUAAUAGGGCGUCCAGUCGCUGGGAGCAGACCCGAAACCGAGCGAUCUAUACAUGGCCAGGGUGAAGGCUGGGUAACACCGGCUGGAGGCCCGAACCCACCUAUGUUGAAAAAUGGGGGGAUGAGCUGUGUAUAGGAGUGAAAGGCUAAUCAAGCUCGGAGAUAGCUGGUUCUCCUCGAAAUCUAUUUAGGUAGAGCGUCAUGUGUCACUUCCGGGGGUAGAGCACUGUUAUGGCUAGGGGGUCAUCCCGACUUACCAAACCAUGGCAAACUCCGAAUACCGGAAAGUGCGAGCAUGGCAGACACACGGCGGGUGCUAACGUCCGUCGUGGAAAGGGAAACAACCCAGACCGCCAGUUAAGGUCCCGAAAUCGUAGCUCAGUGGGAAACGAUGUGGAAAGGCUCAGACAGCCAGGAGGUUGGCUUAGAAGCAGCCAUCCUUUAAAGAUAGCGUAACAGCUCACUGGUCGAGUCGGUCUGCGCGGAAGAUUUACCGGGGCUAAGCUACGUACCGAAACUGCGGAUGCGUCCUUUCGGGCGCAUGGUAGGGGAGCGUUCUGUAAGCCGUUGAAGGUGGACCGGGAGGUCCGCUGGAGGUAUCAGAAGUGAGAAUGCUGACAUGAGUAACGAUAAUGCGGGUGAAAAACCCGCACGCCG
rnacentral:rRNA from 1 species